GCGGGGUGGAGCAGUUCGGUAGCUCGUCGGGCUCAUAACCCGAAGGUCGCAGGUUCAAAUCCUGCCCCCGCA
rnacentral:tRNA from 1 species